rnacentral:rRNA from 1 species
GUUAUUGUGAUAACGUAAGGGAAAAAAAAUGAUAUUACCUUACUAUUAGUGUUGUCCAAAACUGGUGCCAGAAGACUCGGUAAGGCCAGAGACGCGAACGUUAGUCGUCCUAAUCAGGCGUAAAGGGUGUGUAGGCUGCUUUCAAAUCAUAUCUUUCAAAUAGCUCUUAUAACGGAGAUCUUUUAAAGGCAGAUACGUUGAAUAUCUUCAUUCUAAGGUAAAGAUAGGACGAAUAAAAGCUAGAAUCAAAACGAGGAUAAGCCAAAUAAUACUUAGAGUAGGGGUUGAUAUCGUAGAUACUCAAGUGGAAUACUAAAAGUGAAAACUAUUUAUCUAGGAAUGAUUGACGCUGAGAAACGAAGGUGAGAAUAGGAAAUAGGAUUAGAUACCCAGAUACCUCUCACUGUCAACGAUGAAUGGUGGUUUGUUAGUUUAUAGAAGAACUAGUAACGAUGCUAACGCGAUAACCAUUCCGCCUUGCGAGUACGGUUGCAAAA